rnacentral:rRNA from 1 species
UUGCACGCUGGCGGCAUGCUUUACCCCUGCAAGUCGCACGGUAACAGGCCGCAAGGUGCUGACGAGUGGCGACCGGGUGAGUAAUGCAUCGGAACGUGCCCAGUCGUGGGGGAUAACUACUCGAAAGAGUAGCUAAUACCGCAUACGAUCUAUGGAUGAAAGCGGGGGACCGUAAGGCCUCGCGCGAUUGGAGCGGCCGAUGUCAGAUUAGGUAGUUGGUGGGGUAAAGGCUCACCAAGCCAACGAUCUGUAGCUGGUCUGAGAGGACGACCAGCCACACUGGGACUGAGACACGGCCCAGACUCCUACGGGAGGCAGCAGUGGGGAAUUUUGGACAAUGGGCGCAAGCCUGAUCCAGCAAUGCCGCGUGCAGGAAGAAGGCCUUCGGGUUGUAAACUGCUUUUGUACGGAACGAAACGGCUCUGGUUAAUACCCGGGGCUAAUGACGGUACCGGAAGAAUAAGCACCGGCUAACUACGUG